UCCCUGGUAGUAUAUCGGUUAGUACACGCGCCUGUCAUCCAUGAGAUUUUGGUGGGGUCGCGCGAAAGCGGGGUUCGACUCCCCGCCAGGGAG